UACGAAGGGGGCUAGCGUUGCUCGGAAUCACUGGGCGUAAAGGGUGCGUAGGCGGGUCUUUAAGUCAGGGGUGAAAUCCUGGAGCUCAACUCCAGAACUGCCUUUGAUACUGAAGAUCUUGAGUUCGGGAGAGGUGAGUGGAACUGCGAGUGUAGAGGUGAAAUUCGUAGAUAUUCGGAAGAACACCAGUGGCGAAGGCGGCUCACUGGACCGGUAUUGACGCUGAGGUGCGAAAGCGUGGGGAGCAAACAGG
rnacentral:rRNA from 1 species